CCAGAUAAGCCUCCACAGGUCAAAUGGCAGAGCGAGGAAUCAAACCUGGUUCUCCAGAUGAGAAUGCACCUGCUCUUAACCACUACACCACGCUGGCAGGACAAAAUACAUGGGACUUAAUUAGAUGUUGGCAAAACAUCUCCCCUCCUUCACUCCAGGCAUGGCUGCCCUUGGAUAUGGACUACCCCCGCCCCAUCUGGUUCUGUUUCUCAGCCUUGAUGCAACAAUAGGCAUUUUGCUGGUUCUUAAUCAUGGUAUUGGGCAAGUUUGCAAAAGAUCAGAUGAGACAGAAUGUGCAAGAGCCUUCUCAUACAUAUCUAUUAUGUGGACAGAGCGGGUAUGCAUUCAUUUUUUGGGCUGUAGCUCAGUUGGUAAAAUAUCUGCUUGGCAUGCAGAAGGUCCCAGGUUCAAUCCCUGCCAUCUCCAAUCGAAAAGGUCAGGCAGUAAGUGCCUGAGACCAUGGGCAGCCAGUCAGAGUAAGCUGACCUUGAUGGUCGGAUUCUUCAUGUGUUCAUUUACUACCAAGUUAUGGCCAUGUGGACUAUAGAUUUGGGUGGAUGUGAAUUCCUCCUCACUCAUACCAUGUUGGAGAUUCAUCAGUACUGAUAACUGGAUGUCAAGUUACACUGUCGGAAAUAUCAAACCUGAGAGGACUUUCGUGACUGAGUUCUCUUCUAUGCUAUAUAUAUAUAUAUAUAUAUAUAUAUAAUCUGAAUUUACAGAAAGCUAACAUAUCUGGAAGAGUGGUUGUAGCCUCGCUUUCUCCUGACCUACUGUUUUUUGUGUGGGCGUGGAGGUGAAGCAUUCACUUCCCAUUUAGAUUUUCAUAUGGUACUGCCCCAGAUGGCCGUACCCCAUCAUAGAAUCAUAGAAUCAUAUUGUUUGAAGAGCCAUCAAGUCCAAUCCCCUGCAAUGCAAGCAAAGGAGAAUCCAUGGGAACACUCUGCAAAUGAUGGCAGCCAGGAGGGCAGAAAAUGGUGGACAUGAGCUGUGGAGAAAUUUCAGACUGGAAGGACAAAGCACCUCCUUUCUCUGCACGGUGAAUAGAAAACAUCUUGACCCCGUCCUGAGGGGGAAAGAUUGCUAAUUUAGCGUUUUCAGUGGGAUGGGGGAAGGGUUGAGCAGAAAUAAAACUUCCUGAAGACAUCUUGGGCAAAAAGAAGUGCCAACUUUCUCCCCAAAAUGCUUUUUUUACCCUGUCCUCAAGACAUUUUAUUUGUGCUGUGCGGAGAAGGCCACAGUCGGCAGGCAUUUGUGGCACUCCCUGACUGAUGCACCUAGGUCAGUAGUCCUGUCUGUGGCAUAGAUUCAGGCUUCUGUUUCUACUUCUUUGUCCUGUGCUGGGCCACCAUCUUCUGUGCAGCUCUGUGAGAGGCAAAAUCACCCAAAGCAUGGGUCAGGGGCCACAUAUGUACCACAACAAUGCGAUAGACUAGUGACACUUGGAAAGGUUGGGAAUUCCUGCCUUUUGCAAUAAUGAAGUGGGGUAUGUAGUUCCAGGUCAGAGGUCAGAGACGGGCAGUAGCCCUACAAACACACGCCUGCAUCUAACUAAAGCUAGUCCCAGGUAAAUCAACGAGGCUUACCUUUAUGACAACUAACUUAUCUUGUUUUACUUCAAAAGACAUUAGCCUUGACUGAGCUUAGUUUUAUCAAUGUCCUUGGCUACGGCACAUGCAAUAAAACAAAAGAAACUCUGGAGGCACAAUAACAAGGUCUCUUCCAAGUUGUCAGAGCGCUCAGAACACAAGAUCCAUUUGGCCGUCAGCAAUAAAAGCCUAACCAGUGACUCACCAAAAAAUUCUUGCGGCACCUUCAGGACCAAUCAAUGUAUCGAGGGUUUUUGCACAUAAAUCUCUCCAGGACCCAGUCUGGAGUGAUUGUAUGGUGAGAUACAUGUUUUGUUCCUCUCACAGAUGGGAAAGACAGCGGGCGUCCAGGUGGAGCCAUAGAUGUGGGCGAAACAUUAGUAGCAAAAAUGACCAGAUCAUGGUUCCACAACCCAGAAAACUUACAACAUGCCCCAGAAUCUUUUGAAGUAGAAUUACUAACCUCCAGGCAGGGCCUGUAUUCUCCCAGAAAUACAGCUGAUUUCUAGACAACAAAGACCCCUUCCCAUGGGCAUCUUUGGAGGGUGCGUUCCCUCCUCCCUGAUGAGUUCCCUCCUCAAACUCUGUCCUCUUCAGUCACUGUCUCCAAAUCUCCAGUAAUUUCCCAGGCAGGAGUAGGCAUCCUAAAUGUGCAGGAUUCCAUGGCAGAUACACAAGUGUUCCUUGGCAAAUAAAAAAGCCAACAUGGGAAGGAUUCCCUGAAAGGGAAAAUCUGAAAGUCACUGCAGUUUAAGACACAAGAUCAGCCAGCAUCAGUGGGCUCCCAGAAGUCGAAGAUAUAGAAUCAGACCUCUGGCUAUUUCAAUAUGCAACUAGGACAGGGGUGGCCAACCUAUGGCGCUCCAGAUGUUCAUGGACUACACUUCCCAUCAGCCCUGAUUCCCCUGGUUCCCAUUGUAGUCCAUGAACAUCUGGAGCACCAUAGGUUGGCCUCCCCUGAACUAGGAAGUUUCUCAGCAUAUGAACCGAUGUAUAGUUAACCUCUCUCUUCAGGUGAUUGGACAAAUGGUUCCCAACUGUGACUUCAGCAGAGGUGAGCUUGUAAAGCUGCAGUGUGAUUUAUAGUUUCUGGUUUCCCAUUCUCCCAUUUCAAGUUGGACAAGAGAAUUUCCCAGUAACCCGAUUGUUGUUAUUUUUUUAUGAGAGACAGCUCAACAGCAAAGUAUGGGUCUUAGGGCUGGUACAGACAGCAUGGACGAGUCUGCAGCUGUGUGAAUGAAUUCCAAUUGUAAAGGGCUGUGUGAAGGAGAAAGGAAAACUCUCCCUGAUGUGUUUAAUGCAAGUUGUUCCCAAUUUGAUGAUCCAGUAGUUCAGUGGUGGAUGUCUGGGUUCAGUUUGAACUCAUUCUCAAAAUCCAGUGCCCUAAUCCAAGGGAAUGUUCCCUGUUUCUUUAAUGGAGGGAAAGUUCUAUGCAUGCAAGACAAAUACAGGAGCUAAGAAAUACACAGUUCAAAAGGUUGAUGUUUCGGUUUUGAUGCAGAGUUUAAAAUGUGGGGAAUUUUUUUUCCCCAUUAAAAUAAACUUUCUGAGUUUCUGGCACUUCCUAGCUUUCAGAUUUUUUCAUAUGGAAUUUCACAACUACUAACAAAGAUCUAAAAAAAAUCUGGACUUCACGACACUUACUAACAAAGAUCCUUAAAAAUCUGGUGUAAACAGAAACACGCGUGUCUAAGGCGAAUCAGUUUUGAAUGCAGAAUUGUGGAAUAGGAAUGCAGAAUUGAAUGCAGAAUUGUGGGAUAGGAAUGUCUGUUUGCCAGAGUGAAGGAUGUAAAAUCAAGGAAUGUAUUCAGAUUUCCAAUUUGGGGGCAAAUUUUAAUGAGAAGGAGAGAGCCACUGGAUGCUUGCUGGUGCAUUACCAACUAGGGCAAAUUUACCCAGGCACCCCGCAAUGGAUUUUUGCCCAAGUUUGACCCCUUCAUUCAGGGUAGCACUCCAGAGAUCAGACCAGCGUUGGUUUCAAGGUAGGGACUACAGAAAGAGAGAGUCCAGCUUCUAUUGUGUCACGUAGGCUGAACGCAAAAGCCAAACACGUAGCUGACUGUAUCAAGGGAAGGGGUACCAUGGGUAAAGACUCCUUCUGGUCAGUCUUCAUCCAAGGAGAUGAAGCAGAUCUGAGGGAAGGAGGUAAUUCAGCCUCCUCUGGUCUCUGCUAAUCCAAAUACUGAUGGACUCGCUAGCACAGGUUGGUCUAUCCACCCCAAUUGCUUGCUGUGUUCCAUACUUGGGUGCAUGAAAGGGAAUGGUACCUACUUUUUCUGGGCACGUUCCUGGUACACUCAGUUGUGUGCUAGAUCAUUCAGACUUACUUCUGGACAUGCCCUCAGAGGCCAUUCUUGGCUCUACCACAGUUUCUCCCUCCUCAACCCAGGAAUUUCUAGAUGCUCCUCAAGAGCAAAAAAACAGGAAAACAAAAACUAAAAAAGCCCAAAGGGGAAAACUUCCAGCAGCCAGAGGCUUGGGUUGAAUGAUGCAACUUUGCUUUUCCGCUUCCGCUUUUUUUCUUGCACCCGAGCUGUUGAAAUUACUUCGAUUUUAUACUGUGAACAAAAAAAAAAGCAUAUAUACAAAUAGCUGUAUGUAAUUUUUAAAAAAUCACAGAUCGCUAAAGGGAACUAAAAAAAUUAUAUUCAUCGGUGACGAAUCAGUGUGCAUGAUUUGAUCUGUCUUGUCUGAACAAGGAUAGCGCAACGAUCUCAGCCACCUCCUGAUGCCAACUUGCUCUGAUCUGCCAAAUGUGAACAAAUAUACUAUGUAUAUUAUAUGUACUUAUAGGAUUCAAUGGCAGCUGCUGGUGAUAUUUGUACAAUUAGAAAUCUAUAUAGGAUAUAGACAUUUUAGAGAGACGGUGCCAAUUCUAAACAAUUUUUGUGUGGGCUACAAGUGCUUGUAAUUUUUUUUUUAAUUUGCUAAUAACUUAUAAUGACAACUUGGUUUUGAAACAUUUUGUGAGUGUUUGGGGUUCUUUUUUUAACGUUGUCGCUGCUUUGAAAACUACUAAAACAAUAGAGAAUGUAAAAUUAUUCUUUUGAUGUGAACUGACUGAUUUUUUCAUAAAAAAAAAGAAAACAAACCUUAAUCUUUUUAUCGGCUCUGUUUUUGCUUUCUUACUUGUACAAAAAAUGUAAUUUAUUUUAGCAUUUUACAAAAAUACAUUUGCUUGUUUCUGGGUUGCCUACAUCAUGUUAUAAUUGGUGUUUAUGUAGAGUCGGGUACUUUUUGAACAGUAUUAAAAAAAACAAACCUGUGAUA